rnacentral:tRNA from 2 species
GUGGAUGAACUUGGUGUUUAAACUCAGAAAUGGGACUUAAAACGACGGUUUGUUUCAUUUAAUACGAGGUGCAGGUUCGAUUCCUGUCAUCCACG